ACGAAAGUCUGACGCAGCGACGCCGCGUGUGGGAUGACGGUCUUCGGAUUGUAAACCACUGUCGGGAGGGACGAAUACGCCGCAAGGCGGGUGACGGUACCUCCAAAGGAAGCACCGGCUAACUCCGUGCCAGCAGCCGCGGUAAUACGGAGGGUGCGAGCGUUGUCCGGAAUCACUGGGCGUAAAGGGCGCGUAGGCGGCCUGAUAAGUAGGGGGUGAAAUCCUGCGGCUUAACCGCAGGGCUGCCUUCUAAACUGUCAGGCUCGAGCACAGUAGAGGCAGGUGGAAUUCCCGGUGUAGCGGUGGAAUGCGUAGAGAUCGGGAAGAACAUCAGUGGCGAAGGCGGCCUGCUGGGCUGUUGCUGACGCUGAGGCGCGACAGCGUGGGGAGCAAACAGGAUUAGAUACCCUGGUAGUCCACGCCGUAAACGAUGGGCACUAGGCGUCGGGGGGAGCGACCCUCCCGGUGCCGUCGCUGACGCAGUAAGUGCCCCGCCUGGGGAGUACGGC
rnacentral:rRNA from 1 species